UGGAAGGAAAGUAUAUGUUAUAUGGAUGUAAAUAAGUACUUCUUUGCUCUGUGAAUAACCAGAGCAAACUCCAAUGCCAUAUAUAUUACACAUACAUGAUAGCCGGAGCUUGCAUUCACAUAUAUGUUCCUCACCCAACGCUAGUUGCAGUAGUUUUUUCUAGCAGGUAUAUGUAGGGGGAGAGAUCGAUCGAGAUGGAUGAUGCCAACAAUGGAUACAUCAGCAGCAUAUAUAGAAGCAAAGGAACCAACAGCAGCAAAAGGUGAAAAAAAGAAGAAGAAAGAAACCAAGGUGUGUGUGUGACCCCAAGGAUGCAAAACCGAACGAACAGGUUGAGAGGCAGCAGCAGGCAGCCAUAUGCCAUUAGCUCACGCAGGAGCUAGCUAGCAGUUUAAUCACUCGCUGCCCGCGGGCUUGUAGGCGAUGAAGCUGACGCACUGCGUCUGCUUGAUGUUGUCGAAGCCGAGGAUCCGGACGUAGGCGUCCGGGUAGGAGGCGAUGGCCUCCUGCAGCUCCUUGUAGACCUGCGACGCGUCGGUGCAGCCGAACAUGGGCAGCUUCCACAUGGUCCAGUAGCGGCCGUCGUAGUAGCACGGGGAGGUGGAGUUCUCGCGGUACACGAAGCCUUCCUUGCUGAACUCGAGGCAGGGCACCCAGUUGUUGCGCAGCAGGUAGUCCACCUGCUUCAGCAGCUGCUCCUCCGUCAGCGGCGGCAGGUACGACAGCGUCUCGAACUUCUUGUUCCCGUACGCCGGCCACACCUGCAAAUUAAUGCAUGCAUCGAUCGAUGUACGUGUUUGUGGUUGCAUUUCGCUAGCUCUGCUGCAAAGAAUGAAUGAAGAUGGCCGGCCGGAGCCAAGAACGAAAGGCCAACUAGCUCUUGUGUUAAUUAUGUUGUUAUUACCUGCAUGCACCGGAUCCUGCCGCCGUUGCUGACUUUGGCGAGGCUGGUGGUGGAGCGGCGGGCGACGGGGAGGGUGGCGGUGGACUUGAGACCCUGGAACGGAGCGACGGCGGUGGCGGACGAGGCCAUCACGGUGGGCGCCAUUGCUGCUGCUAUGUAGUACUAGUAGCUAGUGAGGGAGCGAGCUGAGAGUGAGCUGCUUGCUGUUUUUGCUGCUUCUUGCUGCUUGGGUCGUCCUGUAGGCUCCCCCACCGAGGGCAUAUAUAGAAGAGGCAGCGAGCGUGCGUCCAUGGCGACGGAUGGCUGUCGUUGGGGCAAGGACGGAUCGGACGAAUGAAGCGGAUGUGGGAGGAGUGGCCACCGUUGUCCCAUGGCGGGCAACCCGGCCAGCCUGGCCUAUCCUGAUCGCGUCCGCCGCCACAUGUCGCGUCCCCGUGGCGCGCCUUAUCGUCUCAGCCAGCCAACAUGUCCAUGGAGCCACGCCACGCCACGCCAUGGUUGGACUAUAUGUGAUGUGCCACCACUUUAAUUAUUUGUAGAUAGAUAGAUAGAUAGAUAAGCUAGCCGCAGGUAGUAGUGCAGUGGUGAAAGUCACUACUACUGACUGCAAACCAAAAUUUCCCUGGCCGUGCCCGGACUCGCUCGCUGUCUCCGAUUAAACCUAGGUAUAUGUUGAGCAGGACGUCCCCUGGCCGUCGCCAUGGCCGGACUCGCUCGAUCUCUAGGAUCCGAGGUGGUCCUGCUCUGCUCCGUCGUCGGCGAAGAUGAAGACACACCCACUCGUCGUCCCCUUCCUCAUGCAAAUCUGCGCCGCACAAGCUGUUUCCAAAAUUUCGCUGGCCGUGGCCGGACUCGCUCGCUAUCUAUCUCCGGUCUCCCGUCGCCGAUCAAACCGAUCGAGCAGGACGUCGCCGCCGUGGCCGGACUCGCCCUCUAGCUCGUCGUCCACGAUCGAGCCAGGAUCCGGCCGAGGUGGUCGUGGUCCUGCUGCUCGGUCGGUGAAUGACUGACUCGUCCCCUUCCUCCUGCUGCAAAUCUCCGCCGGACGCAUGCAUCCGCCGUCUCUCUCAAGCAGAAGCAGUUCCAUUCAGCUCGAUCGUCGUGGUUUGUGAAAGGAUAAGUGAAGAACGACGACAAUGGAAGGGGAAAAAAAGACAAACAGUUUUGGGCUUGGGCUUGCUUCGGCUGCGUCUGCUUGCUCUUCGCCUCUAGUGCUCUCGUCCCUCUCACAUGUUCUACUACAUUCUACACGGACGGCUGCUCCGGACCACCUGAUGAUGCACUGAUGAUCACGGCCUGUUUGGAUCUAUAGAAUUAAUUGGGCUGAAUUUGGAAUCAGUUUCAUGGGUCUCGGCUAGUUUGGCUGCGCAUUGAACUGGAAAGUGACAUUCCAAGCUGUUCCAGAGCCUGAAUUUGUGGCCUAGCUACCUCAAAUUCAUGGGCUAUCCAAGACAAAACGAGUCCGCCUCCUCAUUGUCUUCAUCGGGCGUACGACGCUUCAUUCCUCAACCAUUUGACCUGUUCUAUAUUUCUAAAAAGAAAAGCCGCCCGCCUUGACCAUUACGAAAAAUACAUAAACGAUUCGCUAAAGUUGCAUUUAAAUUCCCCACGUUUGUCAUUUCUAAAGAUAAAUUUAAAAAGCCUUCUAAAUUGCAAUUAAUUACCGAAACAUGCCUAAAAAUGCGUCUGCAUUUUUUUUUACUAUGAAAGGUACUAGACACAUAUUCACGCAUUGCCGCGGGAUUUUCUUAAAAAUAAUCUGUUUUGUAUAUAGCAAUGCUAUAUGGUAUUCUGUAUAUUGUGUGUAUAUUUAUGAAUUUGACUUGCAUGUUAUUUUAUUGUAUCGGAUCUAGUAAAAAAACAAUAAGCUAAUAGAAAAAACCAAUAAAAUAGUUGAUUGCGUUAUACAAGAAUAGGUGAUGAAACAAAUAACAUAUGUAAAUAACUUUACAUCUACAUAAUAGAGAUGAUGAGGAUAUUUUUUGUAAUUAAUAAGGGAUGACAUUUACGUUAAUAGGUUAGAGAUUAAAAGUAUUGCACAUAAUAAAGAUGAUGUGAAUAUAUUUUAUAAUUAAUAAGAGAUAUUGUGUAAUUCGAAAAAAAGGAUGCAUGACAUGGAUAGCUUGCAUGAAAGGAUUGCAAGUUAGUGGGACACUUAUGGGGUGUUUGAAUCUUGGGACUAAAGUUUAGUCCUUGUCAUAUGUUGGGUACUAAUUAGUAGAAUUAGACAUGAGCUAAUUAUAAAACUAAUUACAUAAGUUGUGGCUAAUUCACAAGAAAAAUCUAUUAAGCCUAAUUAAUCCAUUGUUAACACAUGUUUACUGUAGCACCACAUUGUAAAAUCAUACACUAAUUAGGCUUAAUAGAUUCGUCUCAUAAAUUAGCUACAAUCUAUGUAAUGAGUUUUGUAACUAGUGUAUAUUUAAUAAUACUCUAAAUUAGUAUACAAACAUCCAAUGUGAUAGAAACUAAAGUGAGGGAUGAUAUUAACACCUUGCAUUCAGAGAGAAAACAUCUAGUCGGGUCCAGCUUUAUAAAAGUAUAUAGAUUACAAAGUAACACUAAAUGUGCCUUUUUAGAUUACAUAUAUCUAAACAAUGUAAAUACGCCACAAAUGUUUGUCUUACCUAUAAUAUAUAUUGUACAAAAUAAUUCAGUAACCAUAAAAAUAUGCUAUAUAUAUUUCUAUACACAUUCUACCAUUGUAAAAUUAAAAGUAAGCAUUAAUGCUACGGGUCAUCAUGUAGACAAAGUAAACAUGCUAUUGAUACGAUAAACAAUUUACAAUGAGUCAUCUAGCCAUUUUUCUGGCUAGGAACUCAACGAAAUGGGCAAAACAGCUAUUUAAAUGGGCGUCAAUGGUCGAAUAAACAGAAAUGACAGACCACCAUGCAAUGUUCAAAUGAGGUUUAAGCAGGCUAAGUGAUGGUUUACUCGAACCAUGGUACAAACAUAGCAAAAAACAAAAAAAAACAUUACAACAAGCAUUAGAAAAAACAUAUAGCUUGUUUCUACUGUCCCACCGCAAAAACCACC
rnacentral:lncRNA from 1 species